AGGCAUCAGCAGCACAGAGUGUGCACAGUUCAAGAUGAGACUUAAUGGAGGUGGCGCACGUUGGUGGCAUGUAUAGAACUGGUUGGAUAAUCCCCCCCUUCUGCAACCUGCAAAUUUAAGCGUGCAAGAAAAUUUGAGGAGUGUGGAGACUGGGGGGGAGGGGACCACAAGCUGGGCACCAACCACAAAGAGAGCAGCUGAAAAGGAAGGAAAGAUCAUCCAGUCGUUGG
rnacentral:lncRNA from 1 species